AGCUCCAAUAGCGUAUAUUAAAGUUGUUGCGGUUAAAAAGCUCGUAGUUGGAUCUGCGGACUUGGAGAACGGUCGCCUAAUUGGUGUACUGUUUUCCUGUCCUAUUAUCUCUAGUUUACCUUAGGUGCGCUUCACUGUGUGUCUAGGGUGGCUAGAACGUUUACUUUGAAAAAAUUAUAAUGGAAUAGGACCUCGGUUCUAUUUUGUUGGUUUUCGGAGCAUGAGGUAAUGAUUAAGAGGGACAGACGGGGGCAUUCAUAUUGCGACUUUAGAGGUGAAAUUCUUGGAUUGUCGCAAGAUGAACAACUGCGAAAGCAUUUGCCAAGAAUGUUUUCA
rnacentral:rRNA from 1 species